rnacentral:rRNA from 1 species
UACAGAGGUCUCAAGCGUUGUUCGGAUUCAUUGGGCGUAAAGGGCGCGUAGGCGGCGCGGUAAGUCGGGUGUGAAAUCUCGGAGCUUAACUCCGAAACUGCAUUCGAUACUGCCGUGCUUGAGGACUGGAGAGGAGACUGGAAUUUACGGUGUAGCGGUGAAAUGCGCAGAUAUCAGGAGGAACACCGGUGGCGAAGGCGGGUCUCUGGGCCGAUACUGACGCUGAGGAGCGAAAGCGUGGGGAGCGAACAGG